rnacentral:rRNA from 1 species
AUUGAACGCUGGCGGCAGGCCUAACACAUGCAAGUCGAGCGAGCGGCGGACGGGUGAGUAAUGUCUGGGAAACUGCCUGAUGGAGGGGGAUAACUACUGGAAACGGUAGCUAAUACCGCAUACCAUCAGAUGUGCCCAGAUGGGAUUAGCGAGUAGGUGGGGUAACGGCUCACCUAGGCGCCGAUCCCUAGCUGGUCUGAGAGGAUGACCAGCCACACUAGAACUGGGACACGGUCCAGAUGCCUACGGUAGGCAGCAGUGGGGUAUAGUGCACAAUGGGCGCAAGCCUGAUGCAGCCAUGCCGCGUGUGUGAAGAAGGCCUUCGGGUUGUAAAGCACUUUCAGCGGGGAGGCGUUACCCGCAGAAGAAGCACCGGCUAACUCCGUGCCAGCAGCGGCGGUAAUAC